AAGCUCGUAGUUGAAUUUCGGGAUCAAAUUGUCGGUCGUGCCUCGGUACGUACUGGCGUUAUUGGUUCCUCCCUUCUGAAGAACCACGAUGUCAUUAAUUUGGUGUCGCGGGGAAUCAGGACUGUUACUUUGAAAAAAUUAGAGUGUUUAAAGCAGGCUCGCGCUUGAAUACAUUAGCAUGGAAUAAUGAAAUAGGACGUUUGAUUCUAUUUUGUUGGUUUCUAGGAUCGACGUAAUGAUUAAUAGGGAUAGUUGGGGGCAUUAGUAUUCAAUUGUCAGAGGUGAAAUUCUUGGAUUUAUUGAAGACUAACUACUGCGAAAGCAUUUGCCAAGGAUGUUUUCAUUAAUCAAGAACGAAAGUUAGGGGAUCGAAGACGAUCGGAUACCGUCGUAGUCUUAACCAUAAACUAUGCCGACUAGGGAUCGGAUGAUGUUAAUUUUUUAAUGACUCAUUCGGCGCCUUACGGGAAACCAAAGUGUUUGGGUUUCGGGGGGAGUAUGGUCGCAAGGCUGAAACUCAAAGGAAUUGACGGAAGGGCACCACCAGGGGUGGAGCCUGCGGCUUAAUUUGACUCAACACGGGGAAACUCACCAGGUCCAGACAUAGUAAGGAUUGACAGAUUGAGAGCUCUUUCUUGAUUCUAUGGGUG
rnacentral:rRNA from 1 species